rnacentral:tRNA from 1 species
CGCGGGGUGGAGCAGCCCGGUAGCUCGUUGGGCUCAUAACCCAAAGGUCGCAAGUUCAAAUCUUGCCCCCGCCA